rnacentral:rRNA from 1 species
GGGCCCGCACAAGCGGUGGAGCAUGUGGUUUAAUUCGAUGAUACGCGAGGAACCUUACCAGGGCUUAAAUGUAGUAUGACCGGCUUGGAAACAGGCCUUCUCUUCGGAGCAGAUUACAAGGUGCUGCAUGGUUGUCGUCAGCUCGUGCCGUGAGGUGUUAGGUUAAGUCCUGCAACGAGCGCAACCCCUAUUCUUAGUUGCCAGCGGUUCGGCCGGGGACUCUAAGAAGACUGCCAGCGCAAGCUGAGAGGAAGGUGGGGAUGACGUCAAAUCAUCACGGCCCUUACGUCCUGGGCUACACACGUGCUACAAUGGCGGUGACAACGGGCAGCGAAGGGGCGACCUGGAGCAAA